rnacentral:rRNA from 1 species
GCGGCGUGCUUCAUACGUGCAAGUCGAACGAGAAGCAGGAGCUUGCUCCUGUGGAAAGUGGCGGACGGGUGAGUAACACGUAGGAAAUCUGCCUUUGGGUGGGGGACAACAGUUGGAAACGACUGCUAAUACCCCAUAUGAGCUUGGUUGCAAUACCAAUCUUGAAAACUCCGGUGCCUAAAGAUGAGCCUGCGUCUGAUUAGCUUGUUGGCGGGGUAAUGGCCCACCAAGGCGACGAUCAGUAGCUGGUUUGAGAGGAUGAGCAGCCACAAUGGGACUGAGACACGGCCCAUACUCCUACGGGAGGCAGCAGUAGGGAAUUUUGCGCAAUGGGGGAAACCCUGACGCAGCAACGCCGCGUGAAUGACGAAGCCCUUCGGGGUGUAAAGUUCUGUCAGUAGGGAAGAAUUUUGACUGUACCUACAAAGGAAGCACCGGCUAACUCCGUGCCAGCAGCCGCAGUAA